UAAUUAAUUAACUUAUUUAUUUUAGGCUAGGGUUCAAGUGGAGGAAGGCAAAAAUCACUUUGGCAAAAACAAAGCUCCACCUUUCCCUCUUAAAAGUGAGUUUCUUCUACAGGGAACACCCAAAGGAAACACUCAUUUUUCUGAGGGAGCACCAGAAACCCAGAGCUAGAGACUGGCCAGACAAACAGCUUUGCUUGUAAGGAAGGACCUAAAAGGAGACUGGCUUAGUCAAAUACUUGGAGUGUCUGCCACAUGUUGUCAAGGCAACUGGCUCUGAGCUCUCACAAUGGAAGCUUCUCCCCAACCUGGUUGUCAGGCACUCGCCUACCUCUAAGUACUUUUUGUUUUAAGAUGCUUUUGAUUCCUUUAAAAUUAAAAACUUCAUUUAAAAAUAUAUCUGCUACCCCAUAGGGCUAGCUAUUUCUAGUGGUUCAACCAUUCCAAUUCAAUGUUUAGUCACAUAUGUAAAUAAGGUGCCAGGACCUUGAAGCAAUAAUGACUUUUUGUUUUGUAAUUGUAACCAUGGUAUCUGAAAGUGAACUCAGGCAGAAAGGAUGCAGGGCCUGUGUGUUUGGGAUGAAGAGGACACUAUUCCUGAACUGUAACCACCAUCCAAGGUGGGGAAGGAAAGACCGAAACAGAGCCUUGUGAACAGGGAUUCAGGAGUCUGGUCUAAAAAAAAAAUUUUUUUUUUAAAGAAAAUGAUGUCUUUUCAAAGAACAUGUCCAUUGAAGAAUAAAGAAUAUGUUCCAAGUACAGAUGCAGAACCUCUACCAAUCAUCCCAUAAAACCUGAGACCAUCUUCAUAACUGGACAGUGAGGCAUCUGUACAGAAUACAAAAGCACUGAUGCAGAGUUUCUGAGUGUGAUGGGACCUUUCACAGUCAAGUUAUGCAUGACCUAAGGACUUAAGAUGCUGGAUGUUCACGUUUAUAAGAAAAUCAACCUGGGACAGUGGUGCUGAGUAUGCUGUCUCACACCAGUGAAGAUUAAUGACACGGAUUCUCAUGGGAGUGUGCAAGAUGGAAACAGGCCUUAUUAAGAAUUAUCAUAGAAAAACCAAGAACUUAAGAAAAAGUGAGAAGAAACUCUUGAGAGAGGGUGGAGUUUCCAAGACAGAAGAAACAUUUCCUUUGUCCAGGUUUUUAUAGGGCAAUGGCAGAUAUUGGACAAAAGACUGAGGUAAUCUCUAUUGAGAAUGGUUAAUUCUUGGGGCUGUCAUGGGUGAAGUCAAAGGAAGGCCCACAUACAUUCAACAUGUUCCCCUGGUCCAAACAAUAAGACAAUCAUCUGAUGUUCAUGCACUGCUCCCCUAGUUAAGGUUAGUUGAAGGCCCUUCUGUCCACCUCUGACUCUGGCUUACUGGCCAUGACUAUAUGCAAGCUGUCAGUUAUUUGGCUAGGGUUACUUCCUUCCCAUUUGUAGGUGUCUUGCUUAAUGUUAAUUGCACUGAGUGCCCUGGCUUUGUUAGUCUUCAUCCUGACUAUCUACAGUCACUGCUGUUGUUGCUAUCUCCUGACCUUUAGGGUGUCCCAAGUACUGUUAAUUAUAUGGAGCUCUCUUCAUUCUCA